GAUGAACGCUGGCGGCGUGCUUAACACAUGCAAGUCGAGCGGGCAAUUUAUCUAGCACUGAUUACUUCAAAUGGAAAUCAUAAGUGUAAUCAUGAAUUUCUACCUUUAAUAAAGAAAAAGAAAUUCAUGUACGCAAAUAGUGAUAACACAUUUUAGUGGAGUGAUGAGUGCUGGAUAAAUUGCUAGCGGCGGACGGGUGCGUAACACGUGGGUAACCUGCCCCUAUCACUGGGAUAACACACUGAAAAGUGUGCUAAUACCAGAUAAUAUAAGCUUUUGGCAUCAUUAGCUUAUCAAAGAAUUUCGGAUAGGGAUGGGCCCGCGUCUGAUUAGCUAGUUGGUGAGGUAACGGCGUCACCAAGGCAACGAUCAGUAGCCGACCUCGAGAGGGUGAUCGGCCACACUGGAACUGAGACACGGUCCAGACUCCUACGGGAGGCAGCAGUGGGGAAUAUUGCA
rnacentral:rRNA from 1 species